rnacentral:rRNA from 1 species
AGAGUUUGAUCAUGGCUCAGAAUCAACGCUGGCGGCGUGCUUAAUACAUGCAAGUCGAACGCGAAAGUCCCGCAAGGGAUGAGUAGAGUGGCAAACGGGUGAGUAACACGUGGGUGACCUGCCUUCGAGUGGGGGAUAACGUUCCGAAAGGGACGCUAAUACCGCAUGACAUCCUGCCUUUGAACAGGCGGAGAUCAAAGCUGGGGAUCGCAAGACCUAGCGCUCAAAGAGGGGCCCGCGUCCGAUUAGCUAGUUGGUGGGGUAACGGCUCACCAAGGCAACGAUCGGUAGCCGGCCUGAGAGGGCGGACGGCCACACUGGGACUGAGACACGGCCCAGACUCCUACGGGAGGCAGCAGUAGGGAAUUGUUCGCAAUGGGCGCAAGCCUGACGACGCAACGCCGCGUGGAGGAUGAAGAUCUUCGGGUCGUAAACUCCUUUCGAUUGGGACGAAUUCCUCGGGGGUGAAUAAUCUCCGAAGUUGACGGUACCGAGAGAAGAAGCCCCGGCUAACUCCGUGCCAGCAGCCGCGGUAAUACGGGGGGGGCAAGCGUUGUUCGGGAUUACUGGGCGUAAAGGGCUCGUAGGCGGCCAACUAAGUCAGACGUGAAAUCCCUCGGCUUAACCGGGGAACUGCGUCUGAUACUGGAUGGCUCGAGGUUGGGAGAGGGAUGCGGAAUUCCAGGUGUAGCGGUGAAAUGCGUAGAUAUCUGGAGGAACACCGGUGGCGAAGGCGGCAUCCUGGACCAAUACUGACGCUGAGGAGCGAAAGCCAGGGGAGCAAACGGGAUUAGAUACCCCCGUAGUCC